CUAUUUCUUCCAUCCAUUAACUUUCUGUUCUUCCUCUCAAAGAACCCGUACACCCUUCCCCUGAACCACCACACCCCACCACGCCCUCUCCAGCUACCGCUGCCUGAGGCGGUGCUGGACUUGGGUUUUCGUCACCUUCCUUUUGGAGCCACAGUUUUGAUUUUUCAUAGGUGUCAUACCAGAUUCACACCCUUUUCUUCAAAUUCAGCCACUUUUUCGAAAAAGGGGUGAUGGUGAGUUGGCAGUUGAAAUUGGUGGAGAUGGUGCCACUCAUUCUUUGAUGAGGUUGUUGCCUCACUCUGAUGGAAGGAUGCAGAAGGUAAUUAUAAAAUGUUUUCUGGUUAUUGAUAGUUUUUUUGCAAUGCAAGUAGGACAGUUGUUGCCACCAAUGGUGGGGUGGAAAUCAUCGUUGGUUUGUUGAGUUCUUGCACCGAUGAUACUAGGCGGUAUUUGUUGUAUAUUGUUGACAGUGAUUGUUAACUUUAUUUGGUUGAGUGGAUUUUUAAUUCUGAUUCUUGUA